UACGGGGGGAGCAAGCGUUGUUCGGAUUUACUGGGCGUAAAGGGCGCGUAGGCGGCGCAACAAGUCACUUGUGAAAUCUCCGGGCUUAACCCGGAGCGGCCAAGUGAUACUGUCGUGCUAGAGUGCGGAAGGGGCUACUGGAAUUCUCGGUGUAGCGGUGAAAUGCGUAGAUAUCGAGAGGGACACCUGCGGCGAAGGCGGGUAGCUGGGCCGACACUGACGCUGAUGCGCGAAAGUGUGGGGAGCGAACAGG
rnacentral:rRNA from 1 species